AAUAGCCAAAAAUAACAGAAGCACUUGUAGUUGGGUUAGUAAUUAUACGAACAUCUCCACCACCUGGUGCCCAAGUAUCAUAAACACCUCCAAAAUAUAAUGCUUUCCAAACUAAUAGCCAUGCUCCUAAUCCUAAAAUAAUAAGAUGAUAACCUAAAAUAUUUGUCAUUUUAUUUUUGUCUUUAAA
rnacentral:antisense_RNA from 14 species